rnacentral:rRNA from 1 species
UACGUAGGGGGCAAGCGUUGUCCGGAUUUAUUGGGCGUAAAGAGCGUGUAGGCGGCUGGGUAGGUCCGUUGUGAAAACUCGAGGCUUAACCUCGAGCUGUCGGCGGAAACCAUCUGGCUAGAGUCCGGAAGAGGAGAAUGGAAUUCCCGGUGUAGCGGUGAAAUGCGCAGAUAUCGGGAAGAACACCCGUGGCGAAGGCGGUUCUCUGGGACGGUACUGACGCUGAGACGCGAAAGCGUGGGGAGCGAACAGG